GUCAAAGACUUACUGAGACACUAGUAUGCCAUAAUGGGAAAAGAAAGCUAAACUCACCUGCAGCUAAUCAGUCUGGAAAGUCUUCCAUUCCCAAAGGCCCUCCUUACUUGGAGCACUACCUGAUCAACAGGAGAGAUAGGAAGAGGAAGGGGAAGGGCUAAGACUCAAGCUCUAUGAACAUUUGCUCACUGGAAUUCUAGCAGUACUAGGAGAUGAUGAAAUUAUACACUUGAAGUUCCAAGUUUCUCAGGCACACUCCAUAUUCUAUAUUUGAUUCCACAAUUGUGCAAUCUGAAAUUGGAACCCCUUUGCAUUGAACCAGUAGGAACAUGGAACAUAAGGUCAUUCAGCCUGGUAGACAAUGAAUGUUCUUCCUAGUUUCCUCACCAUUCUGGGAGGCCACCAGGUUCUUGAUUCUAAACACAUUCUGCGACCUUGAGCAUUAUGUGAUGUUAAUUGCCUACCUCCCACCUGCUGACAAAAGAAUUUCAGACUCAAAUGGUUGUGGCAAUUGUGACAAGAACAAAGGAUGUCACCGUCCUGCUGAAAGUUCUUCCACAGCUCCUGACCUGGCAGUGCUGAUCAAAUUUUUCCUCCAAAUGACUCCUUACAACAAUGGACUUUAUAUACAGAUAGAGAUGGAUGGAUAGAUUGAGACAGAGACAGAUAGGUCGACAGAAGGAGCCUUCUGAAGGAGCCCUCUCCUUAUUCUGAGGCAUUCACUGGAGCUGCCUGAAGAUAAGGGGGAAAGGCUGCUGUACUCUACUAUCAUACUCAUUUCACAGAGGCAAACAUCUGAAGGAUGGUACAAAGGAGGAGGAGAGGGAGAAGGAGGAGGAGGAUGAAAAAGAAGAGGAGGAAGAAGAGAAAAAGGAGGAAGGCAGGGAGGAAAACAAAUGUUGGGGAAGAUGUGGAGCAACUGGAACUCUUGCAUACCGUUGGAAUGCAAAAUGGUGCAGUUGCUGGAGAAAACAGAAUGGCAUUUCCUCAAAAAGUUAAAGAGAAUGACUGUUUGCACUAGCAAUUCCACUGCUCUGGCUGUCAUUAAGUACAAGACCCUGGAAUCUGCUUCCUGCCUUCUCUCCUGACAGCAACCCUGAGCAACUUCAAUUUCCUAUGAGCUUCAGUACAGAACCUUUCAGAAAGUGGAAUUCUUCAAUGGCUUCCUGACACAACUCCUGCAUUAAUCUACGAUGCUUAUCAUAGUUCAUGGAACACAUGCUUCAUGAUACAAAUAAAGUCAUGCUUCUGCAUGAUUGAUGAACUUUCAACU